GGGUUCGAGCCCAGGUCUGCCCUGAAUUGGGGCCGUGGGAAAAAAUGACCGCAUCUCGUUGCACCUUGGGCUCGUCAUCUGGAAAACAGAGCCACUGACACCAACCUCGUAGAGCUGACUUAAAUAGAAGACAGAAUCAGCGAGGCGCUCUGCCUUGGGUCUAGCUAACCCACGAGCAGCUGGCUUAUCUCGAGGAAGAACCGGAAGGGAGUCGGGAAGAAGGAUGGGGCCCGCAGAGGCCUCGGGGACCACAAUGUCACAGAGGGGGCCAAGUGCUCCGGAGAACAGGGCUACGCUGAUAAAACCCUGAGGCCAGGUGAACUAAGAGACAGAGCUGCAGGCAGAUGAUAACAUACGUGAGACAAUAUAACCAGCAUAAUUCCUGGAAAGGAUCUGAGGACAGUCACACAAUUUAAGAAGAACCACCCAAGGGAAAGCCUGGUCUUGGCUCUUUAAAUAUUUCUUGGGGAAGGCGGCAGCCUCAUGUUCUUCUGCAAAGCCGGAGGCAUCGGACCGUGACCUUGCACAGAGGGGGCACUGGCCCCCGAAAGCAAGCAAGCCACCCUUCGGCUUAUCAUUCUCCUUUAAUGGAGCACUUCUCGGCUCGCCGGUGGGGCGUGGGGCCGGGCUCGGAGGCGCCGAUCCUGGAGGCGCCCCGGCUGGUGCCGACUGGCUGCUCUCCCUCUCCCACUGCCCCCCUUUCUUCUCAGCUGCGCAAGGCCUAAUUUACUGCCUGGCUGCGUGCACCUCGUCAGUUUUCUCAUUUAACCAUCAGACCCGUUUUCAUCUCCAUCCCGUUCUACAACUCUUUCCCCAAAGGCCAGGACGUGUCUCCUGGGGCGUUGAUAUUCUGGCACUUUGGGCCGUCUGGGGGACCCAGGCUGAUGGCCCCCCAUUUUGGACACUCGGGGGCCCCCAGUGCACCAGCUCUCGUGGGUCGAGGACGUGAGGCACGUGGCUGGCCCUUGCAGCCCGUCUCGUGCCACCAGCAUCAGCUCUUGGGAAUCACCUUGGGAUUCACCUGCUGGCAGCCUUGGGGAUCGCCUAAUGACCUGCCAUGGAGUUCCUGACCUCUCAGUGCCACAGCCUCAGCUCUGCUCUGUGGCCGAGCCCCUCCUCCACAGCAGGGACAUGGCAUGCUGCACCUGCUUUUCCCAGAUACACUCCACCCACCAAGAAACAGUGGGCAGUGCUAGUGUUCACAGUCUGAUUCUGAGCUGCCGGGGGGUCCUGACCCUGCAACGGGACUUCACUUUCAGAAAGAUUUACACAGAGGACAGAAUUAUAUUACCCUCUGAGCAAAAUUCAGAAACCGUGAACCUAGAUGGUCCUCGUCUUCACUGCGAUUAUUCCUAUGGCUGAAUAUGUCGAAUUCCUGGACCCGGAGGGGGAAAAUGCCGGCAAAAGCUCCCCACGUUCCUCUCCUGCCGAGCAUCUAUAACAGAAAUUCGUUUUCCAUUGCUCCCUGACCUCUGUUCCAAAAAAAAGGCAGAGGAAGGAGCCGCCAGGGGAGAGGAAAAAGCAUGUUUUCUUGUGGGAAGCAGAAGCGAGACAGAAAAUCUUUUGACAUCCGGAAACCAGAAAGUGGCUCUGAUUUGCCAGGAGGCUGCCGACAAAGAGCUUAAACAGUGUUACCAGUGUCCUGACCAGGGGGACAGGACCUGGGCUGGGGUUCGGAGACAUGGACCCCUCUCUGGCACAUCGCUCUUCCCUCCCUGGCCAAGAGAUUUUAAGGAGAAACGUUAAGACAGUACACUCUCCCAGGGUCCUUACCACCGUCUGGAAGCAGGAGUGUAGCUGUGUCAGGAACGGGGGCUUGUCAAGCAAGGCCAGGACUCGCUUCUCCACCAUGGUGCACUCCACGUCAUCAUCCUGAAUCACCACGUCCUUCUUCAGGAUUUUGAUGGCAUACAGUUCUUCUGUCCCCUUCCUGUCAGCGAGCAUCACCUGGGAGCAGACGGAAGGCAACCUGAAAACUCUGACCCUGUGUCUGGUACUGGGGGUAGGGGAGGAACCUGGUCAGGUGACCACUCAGACUGUUCUAGUUUGUGCAAGUUUAUAAAUGUGUGAUAUAAACAUAUUCAUAAAGUUCCA